rnacentral:lncRNA from 1 species
UAUGAUUAAAUCAACACAAGAGUAUUUUGGUAAUUUGUUUACUAAAAUCAUUUGAAUGGAAAUGAAAAUAAAAAAAUAAACAUAAGAUCCACUUAGAUGAUUCAUCUAUAUGAGCUAUGUGGAUGGACAAACAAAUAAUCACAAAAAUCUGAAUGAAUCAUUUGAAUAGAUCAUACAAAUGAAUCAUUUGGAUGGAGAUGACAAAUGGUGAAACAAACAGCCCCUAUGUUAUUACAAAAUGGGUGGAGAAUAUUAACAAUUCUAUGAAUGGUUCCAUUGUAUUUUGAGCAUCCUUAAUAUCAUUUGAUUUAACAUACAUAAAAUAAAAAGAUUUCACAACACAAAAGACACUUUUUAAGUGGAAAAUCUAUACUAAUAAAAGGAAGCUUUUGAGACUACAUAGAGCGUUCACAUCAGCGGUAAAAAAUUCUUCUAAAAAAUGACAUUUGGCAUUAACAAAAAAUAAAAAAUAAAUAUACAUAGAAAGAAAAAUAAAUAAUAAGUAAAUAUACAACAUAAGAAAUAGAAAUAUUACAUUAAACAUUUAUACGUAAAUAUACAAUAUAAGGAAAAAUAAAUGAAAAAUAAAUAUACAUUAUAAGAAAUAGAAAUAUUACAUUAAACAUCUAUAAUAAUUUAUCAUCUAAUAUAAAAGCAAGAAAAUUAGAAUAAGUAAAUAUAUAAUAAAAAAAUAAAAAAAUUAUAUUAAACAUCUAUCUGAAAAAUGUAUCUAUACUAAUAAAAUGGAGCUUUUAAGGCUCAAUAGAGCGUCCACAUCAGCGAAAAAAAACAUUUUGUGAAAGAUGACACGUGUCAUCAGUAAAAAAUAAAAAAAUAAAUAUACAUAUAAAGAAAAAUAAAUAAUAAGUAAAUAUACAAUAUAAAAAAGAAAAUUAUUACAUUAAACAAUAAUAAGUGAGGCUCCAUAGGGCGUCGACAUCAGCGGUAAAAAUGUUUUCUAAAAAAUGACACGUGGCAUUAACAAAAAAAUAAAAAAUAAAUAUACAUAUAAAAAAAUAAAUAAUAAGUAAAUAUGCAAUAUAAGAAAUAGAAAUAUUACAUUAAAAAACUAAUAGGUAAAUAUACAAUACUAUACUAAUAAAAGGAAGCUUUUGAGACUACAUAGAGCGUCCACAUCAGCGGUAAAAAAUUCUUCUAAAAAAUGACAUUUGGCAUUAACAAAAAAUAAAAAAUAAAUAUAAAUAGAAAGAAAAAUAAAUAAUAAGUAAAUAUACAACAUAAGAAAUAGAAAUAUUACAUUAAACAUUUAUACGUAAAUAUACAAUAUAAGGAAAAAUAAAUGAAAAAUAAAUAUACAUUAUAAGAAAUAGAAAUAUUACAUUAAACAUCUAUAAUAAUUUAUCAUCUAAUAUAAAAGCAAGAAAAUUAGAAUAAGUAAAUAUAUAAUAAAAAAUAAAAAAAUUAUAUUAAACAUCUAUCUGAAAAAUGUAUCUAUACUAAUAAAAUGGAGCUUUUAAGGCUCAAUAGAGCGUCCACAUCAGCGAAAAAAAACAUUUUGUGAAAGAUGACACGUGUCAUCAGUAAAAAAUAAAAAAUAAAUAUACAUAUAAAGAAAAAUAAAUAAUAAGUAAAUAUACAAUAUAAAAAAGAAAAUUAUUACAUUAAACAAUAAUAAGUGAGGCUCCAUAGGGCGUCGACAUCAGCGGUAAAAAUGUUUUCUAAAAAAUGACACGUGGCAUUAACAAAAAAAUAAAAAAUAAAUAUACAUAUAAAAAAAUAAAUAAUAAGUAAAUAUGCAAUAUAAGAAAUAGAAAUAUUACAUUAAAAAACUAAUAGGUAAAUAUACAAUAUAAGAAAAAAUAAAUGAAAAGCAAAUAUACAUUAUAAGAAAUAGAAAUAUUGCAUUAAACAUCUAUCAUAAUUUAUCUUCUGAUAUAAAAGCAAGAAAAGCUUUUGAGGCUCCAUUGGGCGUCCACAUCAGCGGUAAAAAAAUCUUCUAAAAAAUGACAUUUGGCAUUAACAAAAAAUAAAAAAUAAAUAUACAUAGAAAGAAAAAUAAAUAAUAAGUAAAUAUACAGCAUAAGAAAUAGAAAUAUUACAUUAAACAUUUAUAGGUAAAUAUACAAUAUAAGGAAAAAUAAAUGAAAAGUAAAUAUACAUUAUAAUAAAUAGAAAUAUUACAUUAAACAUCUAUAAUAAUUUAUCAUCUAAUAUAAAAGCAAGAAAAUUAGAAUAAGUAAAUAUACAAUAAAAAAAUAAAAAAAUAUAUUAAACAUCUAUCUGAAAAUGUAUCUAUACUAAUAAAAUGGAGCUUUUGAGGCUCAAUAGAGCGUCCACAUCAGCGAAAAAAAAACAUUUUGUGAAAGAUGACACGUGUCAUUAGUAAAAAAUAAAAAAUAAAUAUACAUAUAAAGAAAAAUAAAUAAUAAGUAAAUAUACAAUAUAAAAAAUACAAUUAUUACAUUAAACAAUAAUAAGUGCGGCUCCAUAGGGCGUCGACAUCAGCGGUAAAAAUGUUUUCUAAAAAAUGACACUUGGCAUUAACAAAAAAAUAAAAAAUAAAUAUACAUAUAAAGAAAAAUAAAUAAUAAGUAAAUAUGCAAUAUAAGAUAUAUAAAUAUUACAUUAAAAAAUAAUAGGUAAAUAUACAAUAUAAGAAAAAAUUAAUGAAAAGUAAAUAUACAUUAUAAGAAAUAGAAAUAUUGCAUUAAACAUCUAUCAUAAUUUAUCUUCUGAUAUAAAAGCAACAAAAUUAGAAUAAGUAAAUAUAUAAUUAAAAAAUAAAAAAAAACUAUAUUAAACAUCUAUCUGAAAAAUUUAUCUAUACUAAUAAAAUAGAGCUUUUGAGGCUCCAUAAAACAUCUACAUCAGCGGAAAAAAAAACUUUUUCUAAAAGAUGAUACGUGUCAUUAAUAAAAAAUAAAUAUACAUAUAAAGAAAAAUAAAUAAUAAGUAAAUAUACAAUAUAAGAAAUAGAAUUAUUACAUUAAACAAUAAUAAGUAAAUAUACAAUAUAAGAAAAAAUAAACUAAAAGUAAAUAUACAAUAUAAGAAAUAUAAAUAUUACAUUAAACAUCAAUCAUAAUUUAUCAUUUGAUACAAUUAAGAAAUGAAAAAAAACUAAAUUAAAAAUCUAUCUGAAAAAUGUAUAGUGAAAUAAAUAAUAACUAAAUACACAACAUAAAAAUAGAAAUAUUAUAUUUUAUAAUUAUCGUAAUAUUAGAAUAAAUAAAUGAAAAUAUAAGAAAAAAUAAAUAUUAAGUAAAUAUAGUAUAUAAGAAAUAAAAAUAUUACAUUAAAUAUAUAUCGUAAUAUUAUC